rnacentral:lncRNA from 1 species
ACCAAUGAAAUCAAGACAACAAACACAUGAUAAAAAUCAAACACUAUUCUUUCUGCCAUAAUCAACAUCCAGUCAACAAUAAGAUAAAAAACACCGACCUAAAAAUCCAUAAAAUUAACCCAAACACAACUUCCAACUGAGCUAACAUAUCUAAAUAUCCACGUAAUGAUAAUUCAAAACACAAUCUUCAAGAUUGUAAGGCUAAGCGCUACUACUCGUCUUCCAAACGAUAAAAAAUAGUCGUGAUAAAGAAAGAAAAAUCUACCAUAUAAGUGCGAUGCUACUGUCCAUCUCUACCAGCUCCUCCAGGUUGUCUUUCACGCAUCUCUUGAAUGGUUGUUUUCAAGGCUUGCAGUUCCUCUUGAAAAAUAGCCUGCAUAUCGGUUAAUUUUUGCUCCACCGCUCGAUUAGCAGCUUCUUCGAAUGAAGGAGUUUCAAAUAAGCAUUGAGAAGGUACAGAUGAUGCUGAUGAAGAACCGGUUGGAGCAUGAAAUGUAGGACCACCUCCUUGUGAACUGGACUCCGAUCCGAGACCGUAAACUCUUCCUUUUAUUGGCCCUCCAACUGCCUCGAGCCACGCUUUAUCAAUAACUUGUUUAGGAAGAGCAGAUGCUAUUGCCAUGAAUGCAUCAUCUCCAUCUUCUCCUUCGUCUUCCUCUUGAUUUUCGAUUCUUGCGUCUUCAUUUCCUUCGCCACCACCCUGUGUCCCAGACAUGUCACUUGUAUGACGACUUUUGACGACGGUUUGAAAUUUAGCCUGAAACAUCACAAAUUUUAAGAAUUAAUACAUAUUGAAUAAAUAUACAUUUCUUCAUUAAACUAUAUAAUACAUUAUCAAAUAAAUGAAACUUGUCUAACAACAUGAUCAGAAGCAGUAACUGAAAACACACAAAAAAAUAUUAAAAAACAAUCAUAAGAAAUUUCAUCCAGAACUCAAUUCUUGCAGCAUAACAUUUUUAUAUUAUAGUAAAGUAGAUGCUUACCCAGACAGAUUUUGAUUUUCCAUCAAUCCAAUCAUUAUUCUGUUUCGUUUUGUGAAUCAUCAAAAAAAACUCAGAAGCAGUAGACUAUACUCAUUUCUCUUUCACCUAAAAAUAAAAUAAAAGACUAUUGCUCAAACUUACACUUCCUUUAUGUUCAAAAUGUCUUCUUAUUGUCGUGUGGUCUUCCGCGGGCCAAUUGUACAACUUCUGCAUGUAUUCAAUAUAAAUAACACAUAAAUAAUUUUCAAAUCAUGACCGACAAUGAAUAUUAUAUUAUUUUUAAAGAGAAUUCAAAGUAAUGAGAAGCUCUAAAAUGCAAGACAUGUUUUGUGAAAUAUUAAUUAGACAAACUAAAGUAUUCAAAAUUAUACCAGACUAUAAAUUACUGUGUUGCACAUAUAUAUGAUGUUAUAUUACUAUGACAAUCACCUUAAUUCUACGCUAUCAUAUUCAGCCUACUAUCACUUCGAAAAGAAAAUGCAUAUACAGUAUGUUGAGGUACACUUAGAAAAUUCACUCAAGAAAAGUGCAUAAACAUAAAAUGCAGUUUCAAAUCAACACCAGUAAUUACUCAAGAACUAGUUGUAGAAUUUUUUUAAUCUAAAGUGAACAUACCUCAAAUUCAUUAAACUAACGGUCUCUAACAUAAUCCGGCACCUUCUUCCACAUAGGCCAUGAACCACUGAAUGCUCUUUUGAAUAUUGCAACCAAUUUUCUCGUAGCACUUGAAGGAUCAAAGCUGUUAAAUAAAUAAAAAAUAUUUAUGUUAACACAAUAUAUAUCUAUUAAAUAAGGUGAUCAAAGUUUACCUAUCUCUGUCCAUUUUGAAUAAAAUUCGUCUGGUAGCAAUUCUUUCUUGUGAGAUAGUCGUUUGUAAACUCUUAUAAACUCAUCUGUCAAUCAUUUUCGACUCUUCACAAGUCUAUUAUACAUCCAAGUACGAUCACUUCUAAUAGAACUCAUUAUUGCUACAUUCAAAAAACGAAGUUGAUGAAUUACACACAAGAAAAAAAAAUGUUAAAUAAACAAUUGCUCUUGUGAACAGUGCCACAAAUUAUUGUCAGCAUAUAAUCUGCAAUAUCCCAAAAAUUAUACACAUAAUCCAAUUAGUAGUGAAAGAUAAGGGUUCCCCUAAUAUUUAUAAAUUUUGAGUAAUUCUACAGAAUCGAAAUUCCCGUAAGUUUUUGUGCUAAAUUUACUCUUUUAACUACAUAAUGUCCCCAUUCAAUCAAUAUACACCGAGAGAGACUAGAGGCAUAAUUAAUUUAAGAAAAUCUAUAACAUUAAGGGUAGAAGUUUACCUGAUUUUGGACAUCGCUUUGAGAAGUACUUUC